rnacentral:rRNA from 1 species
UACGUAGGGCGCAAGCGUUGUCCGGAAUUAUUGGGCGUAAAGAGCUCGUAGGCGGUUUGUCGCGUCUGCCGUGAAAACCCGAGGCUUAACCUCGUGGCUUGCGGUGGAUACGGGCAGGCUAGAGUUCGGUAGGGGAGACUGGAAUUCCUGGUGUAGCGGUGAAAUGCGCAGAUAUCAGGAGGAACACCGGUGGCGAAGGCGGGUCUCUGGGCCGAUACUGACGCUGAGGAGCGAAAGCGUGGGGGAGCGAACAGG